ensembl:lncRNA
AUGUCAUUUUACAUGAAUUUUGAAGGAUGCUUUUAUAUUGCAGUCAAGGUAUAUAUUUCUAUACUUGUAUUGAUAAAAUGGUGGGUUAACAUGAGAAUUAUAGAGAAGACAGGAAUCUUUGUGAGAAGCGUUUGUUACGUAUGUAUUUAUGUGUGUUAUUUUAUCAAUAUUUUAAUGAGCUUUUAAUGAGAUAUUUUAAUUUCAGUAAUUUUGUUACAGGCUCUUGUCUUGUAUUAUUCUUUUUUUUUAAUAUUUCUAGCUUUUGAUUUAUUUUCAGAAGUUUUAGUUGUACAGUUUUAGUAUUUCAGCUUCUAGUUUUUUAAAAGGUAAACACUAUUUACACGCUACAACUUUUAUACAGUUUGUUUAUUCAUCCCUUUAUAUACUUUGCUUCAUAACUGGCUUGUAAUUUUAUCGACUUUUGCAUUUCUGAUUGAACUUGGUUUCUCUCUCUGUAGAUCAUUGGCUGGUGGUUCAUCUGCUGUGGCAUUCUGGGAGAAGUUGGCAUUUGGAAAAGUCACCAGAAUCCACCUGUUGACCCGCAGCAGGAAUCGCUCAGAUUUCCUUUCAGUGUCAUUCGAGCGCUUUGGAUUAAGCUGAUUUCAGUCACAGAGAGAUUCAUAUACGGAGAAGAAACUCUAAGUUUGAUCCGGCUGAACGUCAGCAUGCUGAGCCGAUCAUAACACACACACACACACACACACACACACACACACACACACACACACACACACACACACACGUUUGCUUUAAGACUCUUUCAAAAUGACUAGAUUAGCCUAACGCCUAAUAGAAUACUUUUUGAAUAUUUAGAAAUGUAACAAAAGCAUUAUGUAUUGAAUUAUUUUCUAAAAGAGGUCACACAUGCAAAGUAAGUUUUCAUAAAACUUCAUAUAAUCUCACUUCUUGUGAAUAUUGUCUGCUCUUUGACAAAUUAUUUGUUCUGUUCCUCAUUUGUGGCUUUGGAUAAAAGCAUCUUCUAUAAGAAUAAAUGUAAAUAAA